rnacentral:lncRNA from 1 species
UACUAAAAACUUCCAGAACCUUCUAAAACCUCAUAGAACCUUGAAGAGCCUUCUUAAAAUCUAUUGGUACUUUUUCAAACCUUCUAAAACCUUCUAGAAUCUUCUUAAGUUGUAUGUUAGUAAUAUCACCUCUUCUUCUAGCUUCGAGGUCUUCGAUAAGCAAUGUUGCAGUAAGCUAGUAUAUGUGCAAGAAGUUGAAGAUCUAUCGCAUAGUAUCUUUUAUAUAUUUCAAUUGUUUUUUGCAAGGUAAAUGGUUCAUAGGUCCUUGUAGCCAUUGAUAGUGUCCCAAGCCUUCUACUUGUCACCAAGCACAAACUUUGGUAUCUUCAUUAUUGAAUUAUCCUGCAAACACUCCUUCUAAAUGUUCUUUAUAGGCAAGUU